GACGAACGCUGGCGGCGUGCUUAACACAUGCAAGUCGAACGGAAAGGCCCUGCUUUUGUGGGGUGCUCGAGUGGCGAACGGGUGAGUAACACGUGAGUAACCUGCCCUUGACUUUGGGAUAACUUCAGGAAACUGGGGCUAAUACCGGAUAGGAGCUCCUGCUGCAUGGUGGGGGUUGGAAAGUUUCGGCGGUUGGGGAUGGACGCGCGGCUUAUCAGCUUGUUGGUCGGGUAGUGGCUUACCCAGGCUUUGACGGGUAGCCGGCCUGAGAGGGGGACCGGGGACAUUGGGACUGCGAGACGCCGCAGACUGCUACGGGAGGCAGUAGGGGGGAACAUGGCACAGCGGGCGCACGUCUGAUGCAGAGACGCCGGGGGCGGGAAGACCGUCUUCGGGUUGAGAACCGCUUCAGCCUGUGACGAAGCGUGAGUGACGGUAAUGGGUAAAGAAGCACCGGCUAACUACGUG
rnacentral:rRNA from 1 species